CCUCGGGCGGCAGCAGUGGGGAAUAUUGGACAAUGGGGGCAACCCUGAUCCAGCCAUGCCGCGUGUGUGAAGAAGGCCCUCGGGUUGUAAAGCACUUUCAGUGAGGAAGAACGCCUGGUGGUUAAUACCCAUCAGGAAAGACAUCACUCACAGAAGAAGCACCGGCUAACUCCGUGCCAGCAGCCGCGGUAAUACGGAGGGUGCGAGCGUUAAUCGGAAUUACUGGGCGUAAAGCGCGCGUAGGUGGCUUGAUAAGCCGGUUGUGAAAGCCCCGGGCUCAACCUGGGAACGGCAUCCGGAACUGUCAAGCUAGAGUGCAGGAGAGGAAGGUAGAAUUCCCGGUGUAGCGGUGAAAUGCGUAGAGAUCGGGAGGAAUACCAGUGGCGAAGGCGGCCUUCUGGACUGACACUGACACUGAGGUGCGAAAGCGUGGGUAGCAAACAGGAUUAGAUACCCUAGUAGUC
rnacentral:rRNA from 1 species